rnacentral:lncRNA from 1 species
AGGGACAAAAAAAUAAAUGGAGAAUAAAUAAAUAACUUUUGCAUGUUGAGCAAGAAAAUGUACAUGUCGGAAAAAUUUUAAUAUCAUUUAAACAAUGUUUUAAUAAAUUAAUUUAAAAACUUAAAUAAAAUAAAAAUCAAAUAAAAUAUUCGAAAAAAUAUUAGCAAUGCUGCACAUUUUAAACAAACAUUUAUUUUGUAGGCACACAAAGGC